AUUGAACGCUGGCGGCAGGCUUAACACAUGCAAGUCGAGCGGAGCGAGGGUGCUUGCACCUUAGCUUAGCGGCGGACGGGUGAGUAAUGCUUAGGAAUCUGCCUAUUAGUGGGGGACAACAUUCCGAAAGGGAUGCUAAUACCGCAUACGCCCUACGGGGGAAAGCAGGGGAUCUUCGGACCUUGCGCUACUAGAUGAGCCUAAGUCGGAUUAGCUAGUUGGUGGGGUAAAGGCCUACCAAGGCGACGAUCUGUAGCGGGUCUGAGAGGAUGAUCCGCCACACUGGGACUGAGACACGGCCCAGACUCCUACGGGAGGCAGCAGUGGGGAAUAUUGGACAAUGGGGGGAACCCUGAUCCAGCCAUGCCGCGUGUGUGAAGAAGGCCUUUUGGUUGUAAAGCACUUUAAGCGAGGAGGAGGCGCUCUAGGCUAAUACCCUAGAUGCGUGGACGUUACUCGCAGAAUAAGCACCGGCUAACUCUGUGCCAGCCGCCGCCGUAAUAC
rnacentral:rRNA from 1 species